rnacentral:rRNA from 1 species
AUGUUCUCGUCACAGUCCAUGAGCCGUGUGAACAAUAUCAGGACGACGCUCAUCAACGCCCAGAAGGGCAACCAAACGGUCGCCGCCUACUUCGCCACUCUCCGUGGCCUCGGCGAUGAGCUUGCGGCUACGGGGAAGGCCAUCCAAGACGACGAGCUCAUCUCCUACAUCAUCCACGGGCUCGACGUCGACUACCAGCCCCUCAUCUCCGCCCUCGACGCCCGUGUCACGCCGGUCUCCCUCGACGAUCUCUACGCCAUGCUCAGCAACUUCGAUCAGCGCAUGGCUCAGUUCAACCACUCGGGCGGCGGUUUCCGCUCCUCUGCCAACGUCGCGGUCCGCGGCCGUGGUGGUGGCUCACGUGGCUGUGGCUCUUCCCGCGACAAGGGGAGGUCUGGUGGCGGUGGUGGUGGCAACAGUGGCGGCGGCAACUCCAACGGCCGCUUCGGUGCAUCCCGCGGUCGCCGUGGUGGUGGCCCAAAUCGGGCCCGCUCAGAGACGCCCCACUGCCAAAUUUGUGGUAAGCUAGGGCACACCGCGAAGGACUGCUGGUAUCAUUACGAUGAAGAUCACGAUGACUCCCAAGAUGAAGAAAAGGUGGUCGCCGCGACUGAUGGAUCAUACAGCGUCGACACAAAUUGGUAUGUUGAUAGUGGUGCCACUAAUCACAUAACCAAUGAUCUUGAGAUGGUCACGAUGAAGGAGAAGUACCGUGGCAAAGAUCACAUCCACACGGCAAGUGGAUAA